AUUUUAAAUUAGUUUGUCUCAUUAAAUAUUAUGAGAUAGAGUAAUAUUAUUACCCAUGUAAUAUUUAUGUUUGACUUUUUAUGUGUUUGCAAAAAUUGGUUAAAACUUACAUGUGUCUGACCUUUUCUGUGUUUGCUUAGAUGGAUCUUACCUACUAGAUGAGGAUGAAAUUUUGGUUGAAACUUAGAGAUUCAGGAUCUUAUCUGCUAGGUGCAAAUCCUAAUGUUUGUGUCUGACUAAAUAUGCAGAUUCAAAAAUCUAGUAGGUAAUAUUUGUGUUUGAAAAUUUUUGACUAAGCAUACACAUUGUAAGAUAGUCUUACCUACUAGAUGGAGCUAAAAAUUAAUAAAAGUAAAAAAUUUCCAAUGGACCACAUGGAAACUAUAAUGAAUUAAGUAUUGAAGCAAUCUGCAUUUUGCAAAUUUUGUAAUCUGAAGCAAUCUGCAUUUGCAGAUUCUGCAAUAUGCCAUCUGCAUCGCACUACCACAUAACUGUAUUACAUGACCUGAUUAUUAUACACUAAAA
rnacentral:misc_RNA from 1 species